CGCUUAUGCUGCGGUCCCUCGCGCUGUAUUCACGAUUUAAAGCAGAAUAAAACUCUUAACUCUUAAGUUUGUAAGAAAAAGUCAAGCAGUGUAAGUUGUUGGCAUGUGCUAUUUGAAUUGAAAUGAAGUGUAAUGGUGUUAUUUUGCUUACUUCUCUUGAUGAAAAAUCGGCAAGUUUAAUGGAACUUGAAAAUAUUAGUUAUAUAAUGUGCUCUUGUUUUCAGUGUAUUUUUAUAAAUCUUUUGUAAUGUCUUUGUUAUCAGAGCCCUUCAAAUUAAAAAUAGUGAUGGUGAUCUUGUCAAUGGUGAGAUUUCAAUGCAUCAACAGCCAUUAGAUCUGUCUGGAUCAGGAUUGAACAAGAAACAGACAGCAAGGGUUGUCAGGUCAGAAACGUGAUGACACACAAACAUAAGAAACUUCACAGGGCUGUGACAGUAUUUUACCACCGCGAUGGCGGCAAUGUCUUUUUCUGCCGGUGGGUGCUCAUCACAAUCUCAAGCUUUACUUAGCAAUGCCAGGUGCUCUGGAGCGCUCAAAAGCUUUGAAGAGGUGGAAAGCGGCGCGGUCACGUUUUUGUGUGAUUUUAGACGCAAAUUGUGGAGUUAAAGGCAGAUCACCGUGCAACUUGGUGAAGUCAUGUGUCUUUCUAGAUGCCCAAAUCUGUACCCCUCAAAACAACAUUAUCAAAUGCCAUGAUAGCCAAGAUGAAGAUGCUGUUUCAUAAGUCUUUGCUUUGCCAGAUUAUCUGUGGUUGGGGUGUCUGCCAACGUGAUGCCUUGCUGGUCUGGUUUAAGUUUGAAGUCUCUAACAGACAGUCCAGAAGGUCUGGAGUCCAUCUUAGCUUUCAUUGGUAAGUGACUGCACAAGAGGCUGUUUGACCCACACGCAAGGUAAACAGUCAAUGUUUGCAUUGCUUAGCAUCUCAAUUUGGGGAGGGGGUAAACAUAUAAAGUCAAUAUCACCCAAGUAUUCAGACCCUUUACUCAGUACUUAGUUAACGCACCUUUUGAAGCAGCAGUUACAGCCUCAGGUCUUUUUGGGUAGGAAGCAGCAAACUUUGCAACACCUGGAUUUGUUUGGAACGAAACCUUUCAGAAGCACCAUUCACUUCCAUAGUAUUCUUUAACCUGCUAUGGAAGUCAAUGGUGCUUCUGGUCAGUUUGGUUACAGACAUUCCUCAAAAUAUCUUUGUGUUCAUCAGAACCCUUUA